UGAGUAACCUGCCCUUAACUCUGGGAUAAGCCUGGGAAACUGGGUCUAAUACCGGAUAUGACUCCUCAUCGCAUGGUGGGGGGUGGAAAGCUUUUUGUGGUUUUGGAUGGACUCGCGGCCUAUCAGCUAGUUGGUGGGGUAACGGCUCACCAAGGCAACGACGGGUAGCUGGUCUGAGAGGUUGGCCAGCCACAUUGGGACUGAGACACGGCCCAGACUCCUACGGGAGGCAG
rnacentral:rRNA from 1 species